UAACACAUGCAAGUCGAGCGGCAGCGGGAAGUAGCUUGCUACUUUGCCGGCGAGCGGCGGACGGGUGAGUAAUGUCUGGGAAACUGCCUGAUGGAGGGGGAUAACUACUGGAAACGGUAGCUAAUACCGCAUGACCUNGNAAGAGCAAAGUGGGGGACCUUCGGGCCUCACGCCAUCGGAUGUGCCCAGAUGGGAUUAGCUAGUAGGUGAGGUAAUGGCUCACCUAGGCGACGAUCCCUAGCUGGUCUGAGAGGAUGACCAGCCACACUGGAACUGAGACACGGUCCAGACUCCUACGGGAGGCAGCAGUGGGGAAUAUUGCACAAUGGGCGCAAGCCUGAUGCAGCCAUGCCGCGUGUGUGAAGAAGGCCUUAGGGUUGUAAAGCACUUUCAGCGAGGAGGAAGGGUUCAGUGUUAAUAGCACUNNNCAAAAANNUUACUCGCAGAAGAAGCACCGGCUAACUCCGUGCCAGCAGCCGCGGUAAUACGGAGGGUGCAAGCGUUAAUCGGAAUUACUGGGCGUAAAGCGCACGCAGGCGGUUUGUUAAGUCAGAUGUGAAAUCCCCGAGCUUAACUUGGGAACUGCAUUUGAAACUGGCAAGCUAGAGUCUUGUAGAGGGGGGUAGAAUUCCAGGUGUAGCGGUGAAAUGCGUAGAGAUCUGGAGGAAUACCGGUGGCGAAGGCGGCCCCCUGGACAAAGACUGACGCUCAGGUGCGAAAGCG
rnacentral:rRNA from 1 species